rnacentral:rRNA from 1 species
CAGUAGCCACGGUAAUACGUAGGUGGCAAGCGUUGUCCGGAAUUAUUGGGCGUAAAGGGCUCGCAGGCGGUUUCUUAAGUCUGAUGUGAAAGCCCCCGGCUCAACCGGGGAGGGUCAUUGGAAACUGGGAAACUUGAGUGCAGAAGAGGAGAGUGGAAUUCCACGUGUAGCGGUGAAAUGCGUAGAGAUGUGGAGGAACACCAGUGGCGAAGGCGACUCUCUGGUCUGUAACUGACGCUGAGGAGCGAAAGCGUGGGGAGCGAACAGGAUUAGAGACCCCUGUAGUCCCUGUCUCUUAUAA